rnacentral:rRNA from 1 species
ACGAACGCUGGCGGCGUGCCUAAUACAUGCAAGUCGAACGCUUCUUUUUCCACCGGAGCUUGCUCCACCGGAAAAAGAGGAGUGGCGAACGGGUGAGUAACACGUGGGUAACCUGCCCAUCAGAAGGGGAUAACACUUGGAAACAGGUGCUAAUACCGUAUAACAAUCGAAACCGCAUGGUUUUGAUUUGAAAGGCGCUUUCGGGUGUCGCUGAUGGAUGGACCCGCGGUGCAUUAGCUAGUUGGUGAGGUAACGGCUCACCAAGGCGACGAUGCAUAGCCGACCUGAGAGGGUGAUCGGCCACAUUGGGACUGAGACACGGCCCAAACUCCUACGGGAGGCAGCAGUAGGGAAUCUUCGGCAAUGGACGAAAGUCUGACCGAGCAACGCCGCGUGAGUGAAGAAGGUUUUCGGAUCGUAAAACUCUGUUGUUAGAGAAGAACAAGGAUGAGAGUAACUGUUCAUCCCUUGACGGUAUCUAACCAGAAAGCCACGGCUAACUACGUGCCAGCAGCCGCGGUAAUACGUAGGUGGCAAGCGUUGUCCGGAUUUAUUGGGCGUAAAGCGAGCGCAGGCGGUUUCUUAAGUCUGAUGUGAAAGCCCCCGGCUCAACCGGGGAGGGUCAUUGGAAACUGGGAGACUUGAGUGCAGAAGAGGAGAGUGGAAUUCCAUGUGUAGCGGUGAAAUGCGUAGAUAUAUGGAGGAACACCAGUGGCGAAGGCGGCUCUCUGGUCUGUAACUGACGCUGAGGCUCGAAAGCGUGGGGAGCAAACAGGAUUAGAUACCCUGGUAGUCCACGCCGUAAACGAUGAGUGCUAAGUGUUGGAGGGUUUCCGCCCUUCAGUGCUGCAGCUAACGCAUUAAGCACUCCGCCUGGGGAGUACGACCGCAAGGUUGAAACUCAAAGGAAUUGACGGGGGCCCGCACAAGCGGUGGAGCAUGUGGUUUAAUUCGAAGCAACGCGAAGAACCUUACCAGGUCUUGACAUCCUUUGACCACUCUAGAGAUAGAGCUUCCCCUUCGGGGGCAAAGUGACAGGUGGUGCAUGGUUGUCGUCAGCUCGUGUCGUGAGAUGUUGGGUUAAGUCCCGCAACGAGCGCAACCCUUAUUGUUAGUUGCCAUCAUUUAGUUGGGCACUCUAGCAAGACUGCCGGUGACAAACCGGAGGAAGGUGGGGAUGACGUCAAAUCAUCAUGCCCCUUAUGACCUGGGCUACACACGUGCUACAAUGGGAAGUACAACGAGUCGCAAAGUCGCGAGGCUAAGCUAAUCUCUUAAAGCUUCUCUCAGUUCGGAUUGUAGGCUGCAACUCGCCUACAUGAAGCCGGAAUCGCUAGUAAUCGCGGAUCAGCACGCCGCGGUGAAUACGUUCCUGGGCCUUGUACACACCGCCCGUCACACCACGAGAGUUUGUAACACCCGAAGUCGGUGAGGUAACCUUUUGGAGCCAGCCGCCUAAGGUGGGAUAGAUGAUUGGGGUG